UGCCCCGUGGAAUUACACAACUUUUUGUUUCCUGGGCCAGUCUAAUGUGCAGUAGCGCAUAUCGACGUCAUCGUCGCACGCAAUCUUCCUCGGCCUGCCGGGAUCGACGUCAUCGGUAGCAUCGUCGGAUGAUGCCAGCGUUCAGACGCGUCCACUGCGUAAUCUCGUGUCCUACUUGAAGCAGAAAGAAGCGGCCGGCGUUAUUUCCUUACUCAAUAAGGAAACGGAAGCAACCGGUGUGCUCUACUCAUUCCCGCCAAGCGAUUUUUCGACAGAAUUGUUGAAACGAACAUGUCAAAACCUCACCGAGGAGGGACUGAAGGAAGACCAUCUGAUAAUCGUGGUGGUCCGAGGAGGAACCGCCUGAGUUGCGGAUGAGGGCGCAGAUAACACAUAAGCGUCUAUCUACGGUAGUUUAUUGUUUUUGCCAUUUGAUAUAGGAGUGAUCGGGGCAAUAUGGGCCACCUAAGGAAAUCGUUCCGAAAAGCGCUGAAAAGCUCAACAAAUCAUCAUCAGUUGGAAGAUGUGCAGAAGCGCAUAUCGACGUCAUCGUCGCACGCAAUCUUCCUCGGCCUGCCGGGAUCGACGUCAUCGGUAGCAUCGUCGGAUGAUGCCAGCGCUCAGACGCGUCCACUGCGUAAUCUCGUGUCCUACCUGAAGCAGAAAGAAGCGGCCGGCGUUAUAUCCUUACUCAAUAAGGAAACGGAAGCAACCGGUGUGCUCUACUCAUUCCCGCCAUGCGAUUUUUCGACAGAAUUGUUGAAACGAACAUGUCACAACCUCACCGAGGAGGGACUGAAGGAAGACCAUCUGGUAAUCGUGGUGGUCCGAGGAGGAACCGCCUGAGUUGCGGAUGAGGGCGCAGAUAACACAUAAGGUCAAUAAUUGCUGGUGAUGACGAGGCUUCAACGCUGGCGUUUGCCCUAAAGACAGCAUUGCCAGCGGACGUUAAUGUAGCUGCUCCAUAGCAUUAAUCGCAUCUCUUGAUCUCCAACCGGGUUCUCGAGUGCUGCGAUUCCUGAUUGGGCUUGAAUUACGGUGAUAGUCGUCCUUGUUGGUAGUAUCUUGGAUCGGACCCGAUGAUCUUGAGAAGCUUGACCAGAUCACGCAGCAGAUUUCGGAUUCGAUUCGCGGUUACUCAACUGGGAUUACUGAUCCACAUCUACGUCAACUAGCUGGAUUGGCAGGUUAUGAGUGAGUGCAACAACUUUUCGGUAGUGACUUUGGUUUUGGUUCCGUGUUGAGGCACAAGAAAGUUCAAGUUCCGGAGGAAAUGGGCCACGCGCAACUCAUGUGGAUAAGGAACGUGCGCGCCUGGAGACCGCCUGUCCAGCUGUUUUCACGUACGGCCACAAUUCCUUCCUUGAC